UACGAAGGGGGCUAGCGUUGCUCGGAAUCACUGGGCGUAAAGCGCACGUAGGCGGACUCUUAAGUCGGUGGUGAAAUCCUGGAGCUCAACUCCAGAACUGACUUCGAUACUGGGAGUCUCGAGUUCGGGAGAGGUGAGUGGAACUGCGAGUGUAGAGGUGAAAUUCGUAGAUAUUCGCAAGAACACCAGUGGCGAAGGCGGCUCACUGGCCCGAUACUGACGCUGAGGUGCGAAAGCGUGGGGAGCAAACAGGG
rnacentral:rRNA from 1 species